CAAUAGCGUAUAUUAAAGUUGUCGCAGUUAAAAAGCUCGUAGUUGGAUUUCUGGUCGGAAGCUCCUGUCCUCUGAUGAGCGUACAAGUGCGUCCUACCAUCCUUCUGUUAACCUUUAAGGCUUUCGCGGCUUUCUAGGGGCUCAGAUAUUUUACCUUGAGAAAAUUAGAGUGUUUCAGGCAGGCUAGCGCCGGAAUACAUUAGCAUGGAAUAAUGGAAUAGGACUUUUGCCUCUUCUGUUGGUCAUGAGGCUCGAGUAAUGAUUAAUAGGGAUAGUUGGGGGCAUUAGUACUUAACUGUCAGAGGUGAAAUUCUCGGAUUUGUUAAAGACUAACUUAUGCGAAAGCAUUUGCCAAGGAUGUUUUCAUUAA
rnacentral:rRNA from 1 species